GGUCAGGCCCAGUAAAGGGAGCCUCCAGCAACAUUAGGGUUUCUCCAAUCGCCGUCACAGGAAAAGACGGAGGUACACCCGGCGCCGACGGCUCACUAAUCACCUGCCCCCAGAAACUAACCGAUAGCUUGGAGCAGAGCCAAACAUGAUCCAAAUGAUGUGCAUGGGGUGGUUGAGCUCUUGUCAUGUAACAUGAUCAAUAGGGAGGGGCUUCUAGAUGAGGCGGAUUGGAUACAGAUCUAGAAUAAUUGGGCAACGCAAGAAAACGAAACCCGGAAUUAUUAAGCAGUACACCACUGGAAGGUAAAGAGGUCUCACUUGUCCACUUUGAGGAAGAUAAUGAGAGCAGAGCGAACAUCAGGAGGAAUGUCGAGCUCUU